rnacentral:rRNA from 1 species
UACGUAGGGUGCAAGCGUUAUCCGGAAUUAUUGGGCGUAAAGAGCUCGUAGGCGGUUUGUCGCGUCUGCUGUGAAAACCGGAGGCUCAACCUCCGGCCUGCAGUGGGUACGGGCAAACUAGAGUACGGUAGGGGAGAUUGGAAUUCCUGGUGUAGCGGUGGAAUGCGCAGAUAUCAGGAGGAACACCGAUGGCGAAGGCAGAUCUCUGGGCCGUAACUGACGCUGAGGAGCGAAAGCGUGGGGAGCGAACAGG